rnacentral:rRNA from 1 species
AUUGAACGCUGGCGGCAGGCCUAACACAUGCAAGUCGAGCGGAGCGGCAGACGGGUGAGUAAUGCCAAGGACUCUGCCUGCGAGUGGGGGAUAACGACCGGAAACGGGCGCUAAUACCGCAUACUAUCAGAUAAGCCUAGGUCGAAUUAGCUAGUUGGAGGGGGAAAGGCCUACCAAGGCGACGAUCCGUAACUGGUCUGAGAGGAUGUUCAGUCACACUGGAACUGAGAAACGGUCCAGACUCCUACGGGAGGCAGCAGUGGGGAAUAUUGGACAAUGGGCGAAAGCCUUAUCCAGCCAUGCCGCGUGUGUGAAGAAGGUCUUCGGGUUGUAAAGCACUUUAAGUUGGGAGGCGUUACCAGCAGAAGAAGCACCGGCUAACUUCGUGCCAGCAGCCGCGGUAAUUC